AAAGAAACCAACAGGGAUUGCCCCAGUAACGGCGAGUGAAGCGGCAACAGCUCAAAUUUGAAAUCUGGCCCUAGGCCCGAGUUGUAAUUUGCAGAGGAUGCUUUGGGCGCGGUGCCUUCCGAGUUCCCUGGAACGGGACGCCAUAGAGGGUGAGAGCCCCGUCUGGUCGGACACCAAGCCUAUGUAAAGCUCCUUCGACGAGUCGAGUAGUUUGGGAAUGCUGCUCAAAAUGGGAGGUAUAUGUCUUCUAAAGCUAAAUACCGGCCAGAGACCGAUAGCGCACAAGUAGAGUGAUCGAAAGAUGAAAAGCACUUUGAAAAGAGAGUUAAAUAGCACGUGAAAUUGUUGAAAGGGAAGCGUUUAUGACCAGACUUGGCCCGGUUGAUCAUCCAGCGUUCUCGCUGGUGCACUCUGCCGGUCCAGGCCAGCAUCAGUUCGUCGCGGGGGAUAAAGGUUUCGGGAAUGUGGCUCCUCGGAGUGUUAUAGCCCGUUGCGUAAUACCCUGCGGUGGACUGAGGUCCGCGCUCUGCAAGGAUGCUGGCGUAAUGGUCAUCAACGACCCGUCUUGAAACACGGACCAAGGAGUCGUCUUCGUAUGCGAGUGUUCGGGUGUAAAACCCCUACGCGUAAUGAAAGUGAACGGAGGUGGGAGCUUCGGCGCACCAUCGACCGAUCCUGAUGUUCUCGGAUGGAUUUGAGUAAGAGCAUACGGGGCCGGACCCGAAAGAAGGUGAACUAUGCCUGUAUAGGGUGAAGCCAGAGGAAACUCUGGUGGAGGCUCGCAGCGGUUCUGACGUGCAAAUCGAUCGUCAAAUAUGGGCAUGGGGGCGAAAGACUAAUCGAACCUUCUAGUAGCUGGUUUCCGCCGAAGUUUCCCUCAGGAUAGCAGUGUUGAACUCAGUUUUAUGAGGUAAAGCGAAUGAUUAGGGACCCGGGGGCGCUAUAUUGCCUUCAUCCAUUCUCAAACUUUAAAUAUGUAAGAAGCCCUUGUUGCUUAAUUGAACGUGGGCAUUCGAAUGUAUCAAC
rnacentral:rRNA from 1 species